AUGGAGCUCAGCCGUCCAGCGUUUCUUCCUCCAUCGUUCCUGCUACGCCGGUCUCCACCACCGCCUUCUCUAAGUUCACAUUUGGUUCCCGAUGUCGCCGUGUCUCUCCGUCAAGGGAGCUUCGUUGCUUCCCUCUCCAACAGGCCACCUUCCCCUCAUCUUAGAUCCCCAACCCCCUCCGCCAGCGUCAGAUCCGGCAAGCCGGCCGAAGAGCACCAGCAUCAUGCCCUCCCCACCAUGGUAGGCCGAGCUCCUCCUCACGCUGGCCUCCUCCAUCAAGGUCGUCGAGCUCCCUCUCCUCUGCAACGGCCUCGAGGUCGACACUACCACAGAAUUGUAAGAUUGGUACUGUGUAAUAUGAUGGUGCUUUGA
rnacentral:rRNA from 1 species